CCACCACCAUCUUGGGAGCUCUGGGAGCAAGGACCACCUGGUAACAAUAGGCCAAAUACUGUGCUGAUAAGUUAUUGCUCAAUGUUCAGACUCUUGCUUCAAGAUCAACUGAAGUGCUUUCUUGAAAGCCUGCCCUGAAUCCUCAUCUAUUGAUGGAGAUGGUGUCAUCUUGCCUUGAUUGUAUCCAGAAGCUUCAUCCCCAAGAUAAAGGAUGGACAUCUCUCCGAUGACCAGCUUCUUUUGCUCGACUCUAGAGAAGGUUGCUUUCUGCAUUCUGGCAACUGCCCUCUGUCUACAUGAUUAGACUCGUUGGUUGCAGUGCUUUCUGGAGUAAUGAAGGGAUCCAGUGCACAGGGUUUAACUUACUGGGCACAAUCUCUAAGCCAACUCUGCCUGAAUGGGUCCCCUGUUUUUUCUCUUCUGCUCUUGUUGAACCAUAUCUCUGUUCCUUGUGCUCCUGGGAAUUUCUUGCUCUGGUCAUGAAAAAAAUGGAAACUCUCUCAAGGAAUAACAAUCAGAGCUGUCUGGUUGACAAGGGACAUUAUGGUUGCAAGAAGACCCUGAAGCAAGGAUUCUACAUCAAAGAUUCAGGGGCAAUCUGAGUUUGCAUUUAAGAUCCUUCUGCCUAUAGCAGUAGCUUAUAUGUUAUGUUCAAUUGACGUAUAAGCACUGUGAAGAAAUAUUCUAUUACAACCUCUUAUGACAUUAGCAUUGUAUAUUUCAGAAUGUAAUUGUAGACAGAAAGUUGGUAUAUUUAAUUCAAAUUAUGAUUAUUCUUUAAAAACAAAACUUGAAAAUUCAGUUUAUCUACAUAAUUGGCUUAAGUAUUUGUUGCAUGCCUAUUCCAUACCAAGCAAUGAGCAAGGUGUUAUAAAA
rnacentral:lncRNA from 1 species